AUUAGGUUGGUACAAAAGCAGCCUCGGUUUUUGUCAUUACUUUUAAGUGGCAAAAACUGCAGUUACUUUUGCACCAA
rnacentral:miRNA from 1 species